rnacentral:misc_RNA from 1 species
AACCUAGCACACCUGCGGUGUGUACCUGCGGAAGGAUCAUUAACGAAUGGUCUUAGCACCUUCAAAACCCCUCAAACCAGUGGACACGAAAAAUGUGUUUCGGCGCUCCGGCGCCGCUUUUAUGCUGUAAUUCUGUCGUUUGUGUCUGAAUGCAAAGCAAAGAAUUAAAACUUUCAGCAAUGGAUCU